rnacentral:rRNA from 1 species
GACAGAGGGUGCAAACGUUGUUCGGAAUCACUGGGCUUAAAGCGUGUGUAGGCGGACUUCUAAGUACCUUGUGAAAUCCCACGGCUCAACCGUGGAACUGCUUGGUAUACUGGUCGUCUUGAGCCAUCUAGGGGCUGUCGGAACAAAUGGUGGAGCGGUGAAAUGCGUAGAUAUCAUUUGGAACGCCAAAGGUGAAAACAGACAGCUGGGGAUGUGCUGACGCUGAGACACGAAAGCCAGGGGAGCGAACGGG